CCCCUCUCAGGAUCGCACCUGGAGAGUUUCCAGUAUUCUACCAGUCUCAGCUAUAGGAGGGAGAGUCAAGUAGAGACAUACUCAUUCCAUUCCUAGCUUAGGCAGUGGCUAGCAAGUGGAAGGGAAUCUGCUCUAAGU